GUAUAAUAGAUAUUGAAAAGAUAAAUACAAGUUGAAUAGUUGAAUGUCUUGUCUUCGUUUUAAAGUUUGAAUGGUGGCUCUAUGUCAAUGUAUGUGGAAGUAGUAAGAGUUUAAAAAUGAGUAAGUUGAAUGAGGAUUUGAAGGGUCUCCCCAUUGAAAUACAUUAUAAAUUUUUGUUGAAUAAAGUUGAAUAAAAUUAAAAAUAUAAAUGUUAAAAAUAUGAAAAAUAGAAGCAGUGUUGUCCAAAAGAAUAGGAAUCUAACGGUGUUUGAAUGGUUUUUCUAAGUUGAACGGUUUUGAAGGAGUAGGCUUACAAAAAACGUACGGAAUACAGAAUAAAAUAUAAUAACUAGAAAGUGCAUUUUCUGAAGAAACUGCAGUGUGAAUGCUUGAAUCUGAAUGUAUGCACUGAAAUGAAUUAAUUGCUGAAUUUUGAGUUAAAAAUAUUGAAUGAGAUAAAAAACAAAACAAAAAAAAACCCGAAUUUAACCUGAAAACAAAGGUGCUGAACUGCUAAAAGCUGAAGGUUACACAGAAGAAGAAGUUGGAAAAAAACUGAAAAUGUUUUAAAUGUAAAUUAGAAAACCCUAAGAAAUGAGAAAAGAACAUUUAGAGUCAGAAAACAUCUGAAUGAAUAUUAAAAGGUCAUAUUCUUUGAAUCACUGAAUGACUAAAAUGUGAUCCCUCCACUUUGAUCCACACAGUUUAAAAAUUUUAAAUGUCUG
ensembl:lncRNA